UUGAACAAUUUAUAGUGAUUUGGCAAUGCUGUGCGCAACGCUCCCUGAAAUAGUGUAGCAUAAAAAGCGAGAAAUUCAAAUCUUUCACGGUUUUCAAUAGCAACGUUGCCAGAUCACUAGAACUAAUAAUAUGUAAUUGUAUGUGUGAACGUCUGUGUGCCGAGGCUUCUAAAUUUUUGUCCAUAGUAAAUGUUCUGACUAUACUAUACCACGCUGGAACUACGUUAAGAUAAGGAAAACAAUAUAU